UGCAACUCGCCUGCAUGAAGCCGGAAUCGCUAGUAAUCGCGGAUCAGCAUGCCGCGGUGAAUACGUUCCCGGGCCUUGUACACACCGCCCGUCACACCACGAGAGCUUGCAACACCCGAAGUCGGUGAGGUAACCCUUACGGGAGCCAGCCGCCGAAGGUGGGGCAAGUGAUUGGGGUGAAGUCGUAACAAGGUAGCCGUACCGGAAGGUGCGGCUGGAUCACCUCCUUUCUAAGGA
rnacentral:rRNA from 1 species